rnacentral:rRNA from 1 species
UGAGGAAUAUUGGGCAAUGCCCGCAAGGGUGACCCAGCAACGCCGCGUGGAGGAUGAAUGUCGUAAGAUUGUAAACUCCUGUUAGAGGGGAAGAAUAGUACCGGUCGGACCGGUAUAUGACUGUACCCUCAGAGAAAGCCCCGGCUAACUACGUGCCAGCAGCCGCGGUAAUACGUAGGGGUUAAGCGUUGUCCGGAUUUACUGGGUGUAAAGGGCGCGCAGGCGGGAUAAAAAGUCAGUGGUGAAAUCCUACAGCUUAACUGUAGAACUGCCUUUGAUACUUUUAUUCUUGAGUUCGGGAGAGAGAGACGGAAUUCCAGGUGUAGUGGUGAAAUACGUAGAUAUCUGGAAGAACACCAGUUGCGAAGGCGGUCUCUUGGUCCGACACUGACGCUGAGGCGCGAAAGCGUGGGGAGCAAACA